UUACUUCCCUAUCCCAAACAUUAGCCUCAAGUUCAGCCUCUCUAUCUGAUAUCUCGGAGCAAAGGCAGCAUACUGAUACAAACCAAAACUGAAGAUGAGUGGGCUUUAGUGGGGCUUUGAUUUAGGCUUAGUGUUAAGCCCAAUUUCCUUUUAUUGUCUUCUACUUAAACUUUUCUUCUUCUUAUCAAAUUUUGGUCAAUAUCGGUCAACACCGGUUAAUACUGGGUAAUGCCGGAUUCUGGUCAAAGUAGGAUGUCGUGUAUGUUCGUAUGUGAUGUCAAUAUUUCGUGUAGCUAACGAGACAUUUUUAAAGUCUGCAUGUGUGGCGAUGUGUUGGCUUGUACUCCGUGUAGCUGAUAAACAUUUUUUCUAUCGAAAACGAUCAACAACAAUAUCAAUCUAAAUUUCUCUCUUAUCUCUCUUCUUCUU